rnacentral:snoRNA from 2 species
ACCCUCUCAGGGUCGUACCUGGAGAGUUUCCAGCACUCUACCGGUCUCGGCUACAGGAGAGAAAGUUGAGCAGAGGCCUACCCAUUCCAUUCCUAGCGUGGGCAGUGGCUAGCCAGUGGCAGGCAAUCUGCUACAAGU